rnacentral:rRNA from 1 species
UACGGGUGGGGCAAGCGUUGUUCGGAAUUACUGGGCGUAAAGGGUUCGUAGGUGGCUGGCUAAGUCAGACGUGAAAUCCCUCAGCUCAACUGGGGAACUGCGUCUGAGACUGGUCAGCUUGAGUGCAGGAGAGGAACGCGGAAUUCCAGGUGUAGCGGUGAAAUGCGUAGAUAUCUGGAGGAACACCGGUGGCGAAGGCGGCAUCCUGGACCGGUAUUGACGCUGAGGCGCGAAAGCUAGGGGAGCAAACGGG